GAUGAACGCUGGCGGCGUGCCUAAUACAUGCAAGUCGAGCGAACGGACGAGAAGCUUGCUUCUCUGAUGUUAGCGGCGGACGGGUGAGUAACACGUGGAUAACCUACCUAUAAGACUGGGAUAACUUCGGGAAACCGGAGCUAAUACCGGAUAAUAUUUUGAACCGCAUGGUUCAAAAGUGAAAGACGGUCUUGCUGUCACUUAUAGAUGGAUCCGCGCUGCAUUAGCUAGUUGGUAAGGUAACGGCUUACCAAGGCAACGAUGCAUAGCCGACCUGAGAGAGUGAUCGGCCAAACUGGAACUGAGACACGGUCCAGACUCCUACGGGAGGCAGCAGUAGGGGAUCUUCCGCAAUGGACGAAAACCUGACGGAGCAACGCCGCGUGAGUGAUGAAGGUCUUCGGAUCGUAAAACUCUGUUAUUAGGGAAGAACAUAUGUGUAAGUAACUGUGCACAUCUUGACGGUACCUAAUCAGAAAGCCACGGCUAACUACGUG
rnacentral:rRNA from 1 species